rnacentral:rRNA from 1 species
CCUACGGGAGGCAGCAGUGAGGAAUAUUGGUCAAUGGACGAGAGUCUGAACCAGCCAAGUAGCGUGAAGGAUGACUGCCCUAUGGGUUGUAAACUUCUUUUAUAUGGGAAUAAAACGUUCCACGUGUGGGAUUUUGUAUGUACCAUAUGAAUAAGGAUCGGCUAACUCCGUGCCAGCAGCCGCGGUAAUACGGAGGAUCCGAGCGUUAUCCGGAUUUAUUGGGUGUAAAGGGGGCGUAGGUGGAUUGUUAAGUCAGUUGUGAAAGUUUGCGGCUCAACCGUAAAAUUGCAGUUGAAACUGGCAGUCUUGAGUACAGGAGAGGUGGGCGGAAUUCGUGGUGUAGCGGUGAAAUGCGUAGAUAUCACGAAGAACUCCGAUGGCGAAGGCAGUUCACUGGACUGCAACUGACACUGAGGCUCGAAAGUGUGGGUAUCAAACAGGAUUAGAUACCCCUGUAGUC